CCGACGGUGAGGGGUGAAGGCUGGGGGCGCAAACCGGAUUAGAUACCCGGGUAGUCCCAGCAGUAAACGAUGCCAGCUAUGUGUUGCUGGAACCAUGGGUUCCAGCAGUGCCGAAGGGAAGCCGUGAAGCUGGCCACCUGGGAAGUACGGUCGCAAGGCUGAAACUUAAAGGAAUUGGCGGGGGAGUACCACAACCGGUGGAGCCUGCGGUUUAAUUGGAUACAACGCCGGGAAUCUUACCGGAGGGGACAGCAGUAUGAAGGCCAGGCUAAAGACCUUGCCUGAUCAGCUGAGAGGAGGUGCAUGGCCGUCGCCAGUUCGUACCGUGAGGCAUCCUGUUUAGUCAGGCAACGAUCGAGACCCGCAGUCUUAUUUGCCAGCAUGCCCUUUGGGGUGUAUGGGUACAAUAAGACGACCGCCAGCGCUAAGCUGGAGGAAGGAGCGGGCUACGGUAGGUCAGCAUGCCCCGAAUCCUCCGGGAUACACGCGGGCUACAAUGGUCAGGACAAAAGGUACCGACCUCGAAAGAGUGAGGUAAUCCACAAACCUGAUCUCAGUCCGGAUCGAAGGCUG
rnacentral:rRNA from 1 species